AUUGAACGCUGGCGGCAUGCCUUACACAUGCAAGUCGAACGGCAGGACGUGUGCUUGCACCUGGUGGCGAGUGGCGAAUGGGUAGGUAAUACAUCGGGAGCAGUCCCAUAGUUGCCGAUAGCCCAGAGAAAGUCAGAUUAAUACACCGUACGAUCUACCGAUCAAAGCGGGGACCCUUCGUCCCUGGCGCUGUAGCGAUUGCGGACGGCUGAUUAGCAAGCGCGUUUGGUUAAGGCCUACCAAGGCGACGGUCCGUACCUGGCCUGAGAGGACGACCAGCCAGCCUGGCAGUGAGACACAGCCCACACUCCUACGCGAGGCAGCAGUGGGGAAUCUUAGACAAUGGACGAAAGCCUGAUACAGCAAUGCCGGGUGUGUGAAGAAGGAGUUCGGCUUGUAAAGCAAUUUUGUCAGGAAAGAAGUACUUCGCGAUAAUAAGGUCAGAAGAUGACGGUACCGGAAGAAUAAGCCCCGGCUAACUACGUG
rnacentral:rRNA from 1 species